rnacentral:rRNA from 1 species
UACGUAGGGUGCAAGCGUUGUCCGGAAUUAUUGGGCGUAAAGAGCUCGUAGGCGGUCUGUCGCGUCGGCUGUGAAAACCCGGAGCUCAACUCCGGGCCUGCAGUCGAUACGGGCAGACUGGAGUUCGGCAGGGGAGACUGGAAUUCCUGGUGUAGCGGUGAAAUGCGCAGAUAUCAGGAGGAACACCGGUGGCGAAGGCGAGUCUCUGGACAGUUACUGACGCUGAGGCACGAAGGCCAGGGGAGCAAACGGG